AGCGAACGCUGGCGGCAGGCCUAACACAUGCAAGUCGAACGAACCUUUCGGGGUUAGUGGCGGACGGGUGAGUAACACGUGGGAACGUGCCUUUAGGUUCGGAAUAACUCAGGGAAACUUGUGCUAAUACCGAAUGUGCCCUUCGGGGGAAAGAUUAAUCGCCUUUAGAGCGGCCCGCGUCUGAUUAGCUAGUUGGUUGAGGUAAUGGCUCACCAAGGCGACGAUCAGUAGCUGGUCUGAGAGGAUGAUCAGCCACAUUGGGACUGAGACACGGCCCAAACCCCUAGGGGAGGCAGCAGGGGGGAAUCUGGCGAAAUGGGCGAAAGCCUGACGCAGCCAGGCCGGGGGAAUGAUGAAGGUUUUAGGAUUGUAAAAUUCUUUCCCCGGGGAGGAUAAUGACGGUACCCGGAGAAGAAGCCCCGGCUAACUGCGU
rnacentral:rRNA from 1 species